AGGGAAUUUGUUGAAACACACAUUGGUAUUUGGUAGGGAUGGGCCUGAGAUUCUGUAUUUCCAAGAAGCUUUCGGGUGAUCAUGUCAGCCCAAGGGUAUACUUUGAGUAGCAAGGUACCUUGCCAAGGGGUGGAAGUUCUCUUCUCCAUCUGUCAAAGUUCCUGGGAAGUUUCUGCUGGUCAGGGCAGGGGCCUGUGACAGCCAGAUCUGGAAAGUCAGUGCACACCAUGAGGCCGUGUAUUGGUAAGCCCCUUCAGGGUCCAAAUAUUGUUCUCAAUCCAGCUCCACCAGCAAUUCGACUUUCCUUCUGAUCCUUCCUUCGAGUCCUGUGUGUGUGUCUCAGUUUGUUACGAACCUGGUGGAGAGAGGAGGGUGGUUCAUUGGUCCUUUAACUUCUACUGAAUGCUGUAGACAAGUCAGCCUUCUGAUAUGGGAGCUCAUCUGGUCUUCCUGGAGAUCUGAGGGCAGUUAUCUACUGUAUGGGAUCUGCAGCUACCUUUCACCUUGAGUGGCAAAGGGGAGGCAAGGAUGAGGGCUAUUUUGAAUAGGGUUUUAAAAAUGGGGUCAACUGGCUUCCUGUUGCUGGGCUUUUUACAUCUUCGGAACCUGUUCGGCAGGUUUAGUUUCCCCCGCAGAAUGUUGGAAUUCAGAUGAAAAGAAAGGCCCGUGGGCUCCCUGGGAAAGCCCUAGAGUUCAGAGCAGUGCGGGUGUGGGGCUUCCUCCUAAGGGAGAGUCGAAUGCUCUUUUAAGGAGGUUAGAGGUUCCAAGAGUUAUGCCAUAGCAGCAGUGACUCAAGUUUUAGUUAAUUCUAUCCCACUGAGUCUCCUCUUUGGACACUUGGUAAUAUUGGAUUACUCCUCCACCAGCUUGCAAGUUGGCCUGUUACUUGGCCUUACGGAGUGACAUUACCUGUAACCCUUGUCUGACCAAAGGUCUAUAUCCUCAGGCAACCAUGGCCGAUGGCCCAGCUUUGUGUUCUCUUUCACGGGGAUUACCUUGGCCCAGAUGAGCCUGCAAUGUGAGGAUCUGUGACAUAUUUCAAAGUAUAUUGGCUCUCGUGUCAGACCAAGAGUCAAAUGUCAGCCCUGUCAAUUAUUAGCAAGAUGCCUUAGAGUCCAGGGCAUGCUUAAUUUCUCUGAGCUUUAACUUUUCUCCUCUAUAUUCAUCUAAAAAGUGAGAAAAAAUGUUUAGGGUUAAAUGAGAUAGCAUAAACAAAGUACCCGCCAUACAGUAGACCCCAUAACUGGUGUGUAUUAUUAAUAUCAUAGCAUUUUUACUCAACCUUUGCUUCCGACCAUUAUUUCCUCCAGCACCUACUUUCCGCCACAAUCCCCAGGAAAACAAAUAUACACACAUAUAUACACGCAUUGUCUGCAUUCAAUUGCUUAUGAACCUUAAUAUCAAUUUAUAAAAGUAAGGUCAAGUGGUAAUAUGCCUCAGAAGAGCAUGCACACAAUUCAAAGGUAUCUGUAGUGUUAAUGACUCUAUCCUCCAUUUUCUUGAUCUUCGUAGUAUGGCAAAUUGUCUCCGAGGACGUGUUGUUUGAGGUAAACAGCACUUUUAUACAUUCCAGUCUUGCUAGGCAGCCAGUUUCAUGCGAGUGAACUCACCCACCAUUAAUUUGAAUCUUUUCCAUAUUGAAAGAGAACAGAUACUCAAGCUUGGUGACAGGAUGUUACCUCUUAUGAUUGAGAACACGAGGAAGUUGUUAAGCACAUGAAACUGUGACCUGGCAGGUUUGAUAGUAAUAUGCAAAGUAGCAUAUUAGUUACAAUGGGAAUCACCUUCCUCUUCCUUCUUUCAAGGCCCCUUAAGGAAAACACGUAACUAAUGUCCCAAACUCUUAACUUGUUUCGAUGUCUUUGACAGCGUUUGCUGCUAGCACAUCCUCACGGAAAAGGACACCUAUGGGAGCCAACAAUAGCUUUAAAGACUUUUUGGUUAUGAAAUAGAGAUGGUUAUAACCACUCUAAGCCAAAGCUCUGAUUUCAUAGAAAAUCAAGAGGCAUGCAUAUUUAGCAAGUUUUCUCUUUGGAGGUGGAAAUAUGGUGGAUAGUGCCAUUUGAUAAAGAUCAUACUGAGCAUAAAAUUCGAACUGUUGGAGAAAUAGCUUCUUUCUCAAAAUAUUUAAUCAAGAGAAACAUUUUAAAAGAGGAGUUCAUUUAAGAUAAUUUGACCGUUGGCAGAAAUGUAUGCUGUUUCAGGGAAGAGCUUUUUAUCUACUUUGCUUUCUGAAAUGUGCCAGAUGCUUAGACCAGUCCCUGCCACUCAGUGGGGUUUAACAGAUAUAUGCUGAAUGAACUCAUGUACCGAUUUUUUUUUUUAAUGUAUGACCAGUCAUGCUAUUAAGUCAUCAGUGGAAGAAAUUGUUGUUCUGUUAUGUCCAGAAUUCGUGAUCCCCAAAGACCACCAGGGAGCCGAGUCCGAUGCAAAAGCAAAGAGCCUUUAUUCGAGCUAGCUCGAGCUCAAUCCCCUACCUGCACCGACGCAGCGGUGAGAUACCAGGGAGAGAGAGCGAGUUUCAAAAGCACAAAGGUUUUAUAGGGGUCCAGGGGCAGUUGGUGAGGUAAUGGCUGUGGCCUUGGCCGAUUGGCUGGGGAAGGGUCGGAGUCCUGUUACACAGUCGCCGGGCGUGUUUUGAUCGGGAAGUUUGAACUGGUGAGCGGGAGGUUACUCAAGGGGAGGAGGUGUGGUCUGAGGUUUCUGCGAUUUUCUCGGAAAGGGGGCAUGUCGGGGACAUAGUCACUCAAGGUGGAGGACACAGAGCAAGAUGGAGUCGGCUGGCGUAGGUCUGCCCUUUCAGUUCAAUCAUUUGAGGGAAUAUGAUUCUUCAAAUCUGUUUCUUUACUUGCCAAAUUGCUGGCUUUUUUGCUCUUUUCUUUAAAGAAAAAAAAAAAAAAGAAAAAGAAAAAGAGAUGUCCACUUGCACCAAUGUGACCAAACCUUUAUUCCUUUAAGGGACGAGAAAUGUGAGAACCCACUCAAGUAAGUUCAAACCUAACUGCAACUCAGCUCUGCCCAGCUCUUGACAUAGGAUGACACAAGCCAGGCAGAUGGGCUCAGAGCCUCUCUUCCGACAGUGACUCAGGGAUCUGAGCUGCUUUCACCUUGAAAUUCUAUCAUCCUGGAGGACUUGGCUGUCAGCCACAUGGAUAGCAGAGAGGGAGGGUGAUCAACUCACAAACACUUUGAUUGCCUUGGACCAGCAGGACCAGCAGGUGAGCUCAACUCACCUUCUGAUUGGUGGAGGCUCAGUCUUAUGAUUUCUACCUCACUGCAAAGGAAGGCUUGGAAAAUGUAGUGAGUACUAUUUCUUCCACAGUAAGAAUCAAUAGCUUGGCAGUAGAGGCUUGAUGUUGAUAUGUGGUUUAAACUGUGCGUUGUUACAUUUUGAAGGAGGCACGUGGUAACAGAGAGAUGGCAUCAUGUGCAUAUCCUAGUAUAUUCUAUUUUUUUUCAGCCAAUUGACAAAUGAUUUCAGAUUUUGAUUCUUGCUGAUUGGUGUUUCUCUUGGUCCUGUGUAAACAUAUCCCUUCCGAUAGGCUACUGGCUUACUGUUACCUCCCAUUCUUUUUUCUCUAUUAGUAUGAGCAGAGUAAACUCAUUUCCUUGCGCUGGUUUCAACCAGCCAUACUGGCAUGCACUUUGGACAAAUGUGUUACUAGUUUCUUUAACUGAUCCUGGAACUUGGCUAAUUACGUUUUCACAGCAGAUACACUUUGCCUCCAGAAUAGGGCAUGAGAAACUAAAAACGUUGUGCUUAGCAAUUCCAGAGAGCAUUCAAAGGUUAAUAAACAACAACAACAGCGGCAACAGCAAGAACAAAAACGAGCAAACAAUUGCUUGCUUUUCAUGUCCUUGAAGGCAUGAGGUCAGAGCACACCUUUCCUUGCGUUCAAAUAUAUUUAUCUUGUGGUAGACUGGUUUGAUUGGUUUGGUAACUUGUGUCUGUCCAGGUCCCAAACUCUGGUUUUAUGACCGCUUGUCUUUUUAUCCAACUAAAGCUUUUUCCUACUAAUAGAACUGAUUUGCGAUAAUGAUUUGCAAAAUGAUUUGCAAUAAAUAUAUUGCCUUAUCCUAGGCUAAAAUCCUGAUCAAAUUGCUAUGUGAUCAUCACGUCUUCACCCUAUACAUAAUUUUAGUGAUUGUGUAAAGAAGCAGUUGAAGCCUGUUGGGUCAUCCCUGGAGUCCAGAGAAUCUGAUCUGCACAGGAAACUUGGCUUAAGUUGUUUGGAAACGAUCAAUGACCCGAAAUAUGAGGGAAAGCUGGUAGAUUUUCUUCUUACCUUUCAGCUGAUUCCACCAAGCCUUUUUCCUGUUUUCGUGAUGGUAUUUUGACUUUCUAAGUUGAAGGGCAAUUUUUAUUACAAGGAUCUGGCUUUCAAUUUCCUGGAUGUUUGCUUGUUUCAGAAAAUUUAAAGCCUUGGAUAUUUUAGGGCUAUCUCCUUUGGUUAUAUUUUGAAUACCUCCUAGAUAACUUGUACAAAUAUUUUGAGUUAGAUGUAUGUCUGCACAUAGGAAACUUGCAGGCUUUCAUGUUUUCUCACUUCUUUUCUCUUUCAAGUCAACAUAGUAUUUUUACUUUCAGAAAUUUCCUCUAUAUAUCCUGUGCGUCGUCUAUACCGAGCCAUCCUGUGUUUUAGACCUGUGCAUCACCAGCUAUUGAAAAGAUACAGAAGCCCUUGUGGUAGAGGGCAGGACAUGGAAGGGAGACCAAGGAGUGGAAGGGGAAGGAAGGUUGUAGACCUGCUUGAUUUCUAAGCAACGUGAGAAUGUUGUGUCUUAAUCUACUUUCAGCUGCCACUGAACAACACAUACACGUACAGUAUACGUUUCAUUGUGGGCUGGUCGAGCCGAACUUAUCUUAUUGACCAGGAGGCGAGUGGUAAACGUGCUAGCUCGUUACACCACAUUUGUUUCAUCCGUCUUCUUCAGUAAAAGAAUUUCACGCUUUUGUUUAGAGUGCCAGGGGACCAGACUUGCUUGCAACUGGUGGUGGCCAGAUGACAUAAUUUUAGCCAAUAAAAUGCAAAAUAAAGGUUACAGGUGGAGCUUCCAGGAAAUAGUACUACUUUUUUUGCAUAGGAGGGGAAAAUCUCAGCUGGCCUGUGUCCUUUUGUCCUUCCCUCUUCUUCCUGCCCGGAAUUAGAACCUUAUACCCGAUCUCGUGAUCAGAAAGACAAAAGCCUUAGGUUAAGGAUGACAGAGCGUCAUCCAGAAGGAGCUUGGUUCUCUUGAACAGCUGUCGCGGUCUUCACUGUUCACCUUUAGUGUCCUUGUGAAAUGAAAUCUGCGGCCUCCUGUUUGUUUGAGCUGCUCUAGUUGGUUUCUAUUGCACGCAGCCAAAAGAGUGGUUACAAAACCACUAUUUCUACAGGGAGACUAGAGAUCAGCUCUUCCACUGUCUGCCUCUGUGCAUGGAAUUGGCCUUAUGAAUAUACAACAGCCCAAGUUACCAGGAGGAGGCUCUUGUCUGUGGUAUCUGAAAGAGCUGACGGGAAGAAACACGAAUGCAAUGUUUUUUGUUUGUUUGUUUGUGUGACCAACUUUCUUGCCUUUAUUUUUUCUUAAUGUCCCUUCGGAUACUCCUGCCUUGUUCUUUGUAUCCAUCGUUGGCCACACUUGACCCCCCUCGCCCACCCCGCCCACCCUUCAUUCUGGGUUAUUACAAGAGGCGUAGUUCUCUGGACACAUUUUUAUAGCCAAUUUUGGAGAUGAAAGCACCUCAGAGAGGCUCUAUUUCAAUGUUGUCAUUUCACUGAGGAGGAAAUGAGGAGAAAGGAUGGUAAGGUAAUUGCUAGAUGAAAAUGUCCAAAUAAAACAUGAGUCACUGGCAGUCAAUUGUAUGCGACAAGGACUAAUCGCAUUGGCAAACAUUUAUGGUGUUUUUACUAUAUGUCUGGUCCAGCGCUAAGCAUCGUUCAUGCUUUAUCAAUAUUUCCCCUUCCCAACAACACCACGAGGAAGGAUUUAUAAGCAUCUUCAUUUUACAGAUGAGGAAACUCAGGCACGAAGAGGUGAAGUAAGGUAUUUAAUCUCAAGGUCAGGUAUUUAAUCAUACUUCACUCCAGGGGAGUCUCGGGAGUGGAAUACUGAACUGUUCAAGCUUCAUCAUAUCAGAUGUCAAGCAAGUCAGUUUACAACAUCUGCCAGAGUGGAGAUUAAAAAUAGCAUAUAAUUUGUCUGUCUCAGACUAACAAUUUAAAAAAUUUCCCUGUCGCACAUUCAUCUCUUACAGAUAGUUUGAGGAUAGUAAGAUUUCCAUUCAUCCACUCAGUCAGUGCAUGAGAGGCUAGUCUGUGUCAGGCAUUAAGCCAGGCCCUGGGGAUAUAACAUGCUACAUGCUCCCGGUUUUUGCCUUCAAGGGACUUACAGCCUAUAGGGAGAGAGUGAGAAGGAAACAGAGAAGAAAGUCUAUAUGCUACAGGAUUAUGUUGUAUUUCACAGAGGGUGCUUUUGAAGCACAUAGAGGAGAAAGCUCAUGCAAGACAUCCAGGAGGCUGUAACAUCGGAGCCGUGACCAACUGGCAGGAGAAGCAAGGACUCCACAAGUGAAUGGAGAAAGGGUAUUAUGGGAAAUGCAAAGAGUAAGCUGAGGAGCCAAAGUAAGGAAGACAGUGCAAGGUGUAUUGUGGGAUGUCAGGUGGGCGGUAUGGCUAUAAUCUUCAUUCAAGGGAUCACAUGGAUAGAAAUAAGGCGGGAUUUGGUUGGAAGAGAGAAGUGGGAGGCUCUCACAUGGCUUUCAUUGGGAGAGUGAUGGGACCAGAUUUAUAUUAUAGAAAAAUCGCCCUGGCUGUGUCAUAGAGGCAGUUAUCAAAAAGCGAGUUUUGAUUCUGUGUUUUAAGAACUUUACUGUCUUUAGUGUUUUCACAUUCUUUGUUUUCAUACCAUUCAUUGUAAAUACUCAUCAUAAAAUUAAAAAAGAAAAAAAGCAGAUUCUUUGCCUUAUCACAAACGCACCGGGACCCUGGGAUCAGAUAGGAGUUGGGUUUUCUGUGUAUAUUUGGACAAUUUGGUAUAAAUUGUUUCCAGUGAAUACAAGCUACGCUUAUUAUGGAUUUAGGGCAGAGCAAUAUGUUGUGUUUAACGCAUUCAUGCACAUUUGUCUGUGUCUGUUCAAAACCUUCUAGAGUUGAGCAGCAGGAAGUGUGAUAGAGUUGGUGCUGACAGAUAAUGGCCUCAUUUUCCCUGACGUAUACAUAUAAAAAUGAAAAUCCUGUCUUGCUCUUUCUGAAAGGUCAAAUGCGCUACCCUGAAGGGCAUCUCUUUAAGGCAAUUCCAAGACAUUCUUAUCACAGUUGAAGACAUUUUCUAAAAUAAGAAAAAAGAAAACAUUCCAGUGACUGCUCUGUGUUACGGCAAAGUUGCAAGGCAGAAAUGAUGGCAGGUAAUUAUGCAAACGGACCCACUCCAGUUGUGCGAAAUAUCAAUGAUAGUCAUUGUGUUCUAUGAUUCAUUGUUAUGCUCAGACCCAUUCAUGUGUUUGUGACUGCCCUUUCUGAGCAAUGUGAAAAGCAGAAAACAAAGCCCCAUGUUUAGCAUCAUCUCCAAUAAUGAUGAAUAUUUGCAAUCAAGUCCACAAUAUGACACAAAGUACUUCUACAAUAAAUGCUGAAAAAUAGGGAGGCACGCUGAGAAGACGUGACUGUUUCACUUAAUGCCAGAUUUCUCUGCAGCAAAUGAAGAACAGUGAACUGGAUCAUCAAAUUCUAAAAUUUCAGUUCCUGAGUCUGGUUGUGAGGUACAUUUGACUUCUUUAAAUGAUGGAUUUAUUAAUUAGGAUAUUAAAAAAUCUGUGACUUA